CUUAAAUGUGACAUAAUACAACUGCAGAAAAUGUGAAUUAAAGCUAUCUCUCACUUUUCCUUCCAGGGAAAUCUUGAGGAGUUUGAUGCUUUUCAUCCUCCAGCCAUAAAAUCAUCUUGUGGGGGGAGGCUGUACACUGGUAGAAAUAAAAGGCAAGCAGUUCCUGGCCCGUGAUAUUCCAGUUAGAGGUGUCUGACUGACAGCAUGUUGGCACCGAGGGAAGCGAUGGGCUUUGGCUCCAGAUGUUUAGAUAACCAUAGGCAUGGCAUUAAUGGAGACGUAGAAUGCAAGAAGGG
rnacentral:lncRNA from 1 species